rnacentral:misc_RNA from 1 species
GAUGAAGAACGCAGCGAAAUGCGAUAAGUAAUGUGAAUUGCAGAAUUCAGUGAAUCAUCGAAUCUUUGAACGCACAUUGCGCCCGCCAGUAUUCUGGCGGGCAUGCCUGUUCGAGCGUCAUUUCAACCCUCAGGUCCCCAGUGCCUGGUGUUGGGGAUCGGCAGCAGGGCGUCAAGCCCGCCGGCCCCGAAAUCUAGUGGCGGUCUCGCUGUAGUCCUCCUCUGCGUAGUAGCACAACCUCGCAGUUGGAACGCGGCGGUGGCCAUGCCGUUAAACACCCCACUUCUGAAAGUUGACCUCGGAUCAGGUAGGAAUACCCGCUGAACUUAAGCAUAUCAAUAAGCGGAGGA